GCCCGGGUAGCUCAAUUGGCUAGAGCGUGCGGCUUUUACUUUCCUCUCAAGGAUUCGAUACCGCAAGGCUGGGGGUUCGACCCCCCCCUCGGGCG
rnacentral:tRNA from 1 species